rnacentral:rRNA from 1 species
UGCCGCGUGAAGGAAGACGGCCUUAUGGGUUGUAAACUUCUUUUAUACAGGAAGAAACCUUUCCACGUGUGGAAAGCUGACGGUACUGUAAGAAUAAGGAUCGGCUAACUCCGUGCCAGCAGCCGCGGUAAUACGGAGGAUCCAAGCGUUAUCCGGAAUUAUUGGGUUUAAAGGGUUCGCAGGCUGUUUGUUAAGUCAGAGGUGAAAUCCUACCGCUCAACGGUAGAACUGCCUUUGAUACUGGCAAACUUGAGUUAUUGUGAAGUAGUUAGAAUGUGUAGUGUAGCGGUGAAAUGCAUAGAUAUUACACAGAAUACCGAUUGCGAAAGCAGAUUACUAACAAUGUACUGACGCUGAGGGACGAAAGCGUGGGUAGCGAACAGGAUUAGAUACCCUGGUAGUCCACGCCGUAAACGAUGGUCACUAGCUGUUUGAUGUACAUUGGUACAUUGAGUGGCUAAGCGAAAGUGAUAAGUGACCCACCUGGGGAGUACGCUCGCAAGAGUGAAACUCAAAGGAAUUGACGGGGGCCCGCACAAGCGGUGGAGCAUGUGGUUUAAUUCGAUGAUACGCGAGGAACCUUACCAGGACUUAAAUGUAAGUUGCAUGAUUCAGAAAUGGAUCUUUCUUCGGACUACUUACAAGGUGCUGCAUGGUUGUCGUCAGCUCGUGCCGUGAGGUGUCAGGUUAAGUCCUAUAACGAGCGCAACCCCUAUCGUUAGUUGCCAUCAAGUAAAGUUGGGAACUCUAGCGAAACUGCCGGUGCAAACCGUGAGGAAGGUGGGGAUGACGUCAAAUCAUCACGGCCCUUACGUUCUGGGCUACACACGUGCUACAAUGGCCGGUACAGAAAGCAGCCACUAUGCGAAUAGGAGCUAACCUUCAAAGCCGGUCUCAGUUCGGAUCGCAGUCUGCAACUCGACUGCGUGAAGCUGGAAUCGCUAGUAAUCGGAUAUCAGCCAUGAUCCGGUGAAUACGUUCCCGGGCCUUGUACACACCGCCCGUCAAGCCAUGGAAGCUGGGGGUACCUAAAGUCGGUGACCGAAAGGAGCCGCCUAGGGUAAAACUAGUAACUGGGGCUAAGUCGUAACAAGGUAGCCGUACCGGAAGGUGCGGCUGGAAUACCUCCUUUCU